rnacentral:lncRNA from 1 species
GUUACAUUCACCAACUGCAUUUCUCAACAUUCAACACUGUCUGUGUUCCAGUCUCCACUCAUUCCUCAACCAAAUGGUGAAUUUCUCCCAUCUAGAUGGAGGCACAUGCCUAAGAGUCAACAGAACUCAAGACCCCAGAGAAGAGAGUAUCAAGAACUGGAACGUGUUCAGAACACAUGCACACAGUGUUUAUGUAAGUUUGUGGGGUUGGAGGGUUGAUAGUCUUCCUUGUCUUUACUGCCCUGUUCUCUC